UUUUCAAUUGCUAACGGCGUAUCCUUUCGCAAUUUGUGCGUAAUGGACUACAACAGUUACAUGAUACGCCUAUGUGUGUGUGUGUGUGUGUGUGUGGGUGGGUGCAUGUCCUGUGCGACAGCGUGCAACUGACCCUUGCAACGCAAAUGAAAACGAGUGAAGCAACACAACUGCUGCCGUUCCCAGAUGUCCACCUUUUGGGUCUCAAAUUAUUUCCGUGCCGAGAUUAGCCAAGGAUAUUGAUCUGCUGUCACACCGAGCAAAAAAUGUGAAAGUGAAUUACGCCACAAAACACUCACAAAUUCAAUUUCAAUCCAAUCACUGCUUGGCUGGAGCCCAUGGGUCUCCACAAAUUGUGUGGCCAGAAGCCAAGGCAACGGCCAAAGCUAAAAACAAUCUAUUGCUAAAAUCGCCCGAGAUCUAAGAAGGAGUUAACUAUAACCAGAACCAAGACAGAGUUAAAUUUGUUGCGUUUCAGGGCAAAUAAAUUCAAGAGUUGAUAGCAUAAUA